UCAUCAUCUUGUGCAACCCUAAUUUCAUCAAAUUUCAUUUGAUAUGAAUCUCUCAUUUCACAGCACAGUUGCAUCCGUAAUUCAUCUGAUGAUUCUGAUUUGAAGCCGGAAGGUAUGAAGCCAUGAACUACUGAAUCCCUUCUACUCUCCAUCUUUAAUCUGAGAAUCUUUAUCAAUCUCUCAACCGCAGCCCUAACCCUAGCCAAGUAGUCAUCUACCAGACUCCCACCACCUCUCCACGACAGAUGGAGAGUAUGAGCAAUCCAGUGAGUGCCCCGCCUCAAAUUUUGGAUGCUGAAGAAAACGCAACUAACAUUCUAGAGCCAAAUCCACAACCUGAAAAGGAAGAUGUUGACAAUGAAAAAAAUGACAAGCCUCCAAAGCGAAUUGGACGCAAGGGUAAGCCUACUUCUUGGUUAUGGGAUCACUUUAAAUAUAUUGAAGGUCCACCUGAAUAUGUGAAAUGUCACUAUUGUAGCUCUACAUAUUUGUGUUCAUCAAAGUUGCAUGUAUUUCAAACCUGAAAAUUCAUUAUGAAAAGUGUGAGAAGUCCCCAUAUAAGAAAGUAUUGAAAGGUCAAAAAA